GUCGGUUACGUCAAUUGGUUAGAGCGUGGAACUAAUAUAGUGAUUCUACUAUAUAAAGGUAUGCAAAGGUCAUUAGUUCGACCCUCAUACUGAGCCA